GCCUGGGUGGCUCAGUUGGUUAAGCCUCCGACUUUGGUUCAGGUCAUGAUCUCGCAGUUCGUGGGUUCAAGCCUCACUUCGGGCU
rnacentral:tRNA from 1 species